rnacentral:pre_miRNA from 1 species
AGCCAAACAGAAGCUCUGUCUUGUGACUCUCUAUGAGAAAGUGCUUCUCGUUCGGCUGA